rnacentral:rRNA from 1 species
CACGUAGGGUGCGAGCGUUGUCCGGAAUUAUUGGGCGUAAAGAGCUCGUAGGCGGCUCGUCGCGUCGACCGUGAAAACCCGCGGCUUAACCGCGGGCUUGCGGUUGAUACGGGCGGGCUAGAGUUCGGUAGGGGGAGACUGGAAUUCCUGGUGUAGCGGUGAAAUGCGCAGAUAUCAGGAGGAACACCGGUGGCGAAGGCGGGUCUCUGGGCCGAUACUGACGCUGAGGAGCGAAAGCGUGGGGAGCGAACAGG